rnacentral:rRNA from 1 species
UGCCUUAGUAAGGGCGACUGAACCGGCAAAAGCUCGAAAUUGGAAUCGGGGAUUCAAAGAAUCUUCGAAUUGUAAUCAGGAUUGCCUAAAUACGAAAAUUUGCUCAAGCUUAUCGAAAUAAGAACCAGAGAGGGUGAAAGUCCCGUACAGCUUAUUUUCGAAUAAGGUAAUUCCAAAAAGAGUCGGGUUGCUUGGAACUGCAGCCCUAAGUGGGAGAUAUGAAUCUUCCAAAGCUAAAUAAGGAUGGGAGACCGAUAGCGAACAAGUACUGUGAAGGAAAGAUGAAAAGGACUUUGAAAAGAGAGUUAAAAGAUCUGAAAUCGUUGAGAAGGAAGCGGUAGAAACUGACGGUCAUACUGAAUGAUUACGUGAUGAUACAUUACGGAUAAUUCUCCAGAAUGACGGGCAAAAUGAAGUUAAUCAUAUCAAAAAAGGCUUUAGCCGUGUAAGAUAUGAUUAGCUUGAGGGACUAUUGUGAUUUUGCCAAAAUGGUUUUUACCGUCCCGUCUUGAAACACGGACCAAGGAGUCUAACAUAUAUGCGAGUGUGCGAGUGGAAAAACUCAUACGCGGAAUGAAAGUAAAAGGUGCGCAGCGUAAGCAGCAGCAUCGACCGACCUAGUAAGAAAGGUUUGAGUAAGAGCAUAUCUGUUAGGACCCGAAAGAUGGUGAACUAUGCCUGAGUAGGGUGAAGUCAGGGGAAACCCUGAUGGAGGCUCGUAGCGUUGUUGACGUGCAAAUCACUCGUCAAACUUGGGUAUAGGGGCGAAAGACUAAUCGAACCAUCUAGUAGCUGGUUCCCUCCGAAGUUUCCCUCAGGAUAGCUGGAACAAAAUCGCAGUUUUAUCAGGUAAAGCGAAUGAUUAGUGGCCUCUGGGUGCUUUUUGCCUGGACCAAUUCUCAAACUUUAAAUUGGUAAGAACUCUUCGUUAUCUUAAUUGAACGUUGAGACAGAAUGCGUGUUCUUAGUGGGCCAUUUUUGGUAAGCAGAACUGGCGAUGAGGGAUGAACCUAACGUCGAGUUAAGGUGCCCAACUGUACGCUCAUCAGAUACCACAAAAGGUGUUGAUUCAUCUAAACAGCAGGGCGGUGGACAUAAAAGUCGUUACCCGCUAAGGAGUGUGUCAUGACUCACCUGCCGAAUGAAUUAGCCCUGAAAAUGGAUGGCGCUUAAGCGUACGACCGAUACUCGACCAUCAUUACAAAAGGCCGUAGUGAUGAGUAGGAGGGCGUGGAUGUUGUGAGAAGCUUAUGGCGUGAGCCUGGGUGGAACGACAUCUAGUGCAGAUCUUGGUGGUAGUAGCAAAUAGCCAAUUGGAAACGUUGGCGGCCGAAGUGGAGAAGGGUUCCCUGAGAACAGUAAUUGGUCAGGGGUUACGCGGUCCUAAGUUCCUGGUUAAAUCUGUAUAAGGCGCUCUAUAGCGCGGAACGAAAGGGAAUCAGGUUGAAAUUCCUGACGCUGAAUAGGAUACGUGGUAACACAAACUAGCUCAGAGACGUCAGCGCGUGCUCCUGGAAGAGUUUUCUUUUCUUCUUAACAAGUAGGCGGCCUUGAAAUUGGUUUACCCAGAGAGAAGGCUGUAAGCUUGGCAGAGCAUCUCGCUUUUUAGAGAUGUCAGGUGCGCUCGCGAUGACCCUUGAAAAUCUGAGCCAGAUCUAUCCUAUUUAGGCCGUACCCAUAACCGC